AAUCAACGCUGGCAGCGUGCCUAACACAUGCAAGUCGCACGAGAAAGUGGAGCAAUCCAUGAGUAAAGUGGCGUACGGGUGAGUAACACGUGACUAACCUACCCUCGAGUGGGGAAUAACCUCGGGAAACCGGGGCUAAUACCGCAUAACAUCUUCUGGCUGAGAUGCCGGUUGAUCAAACCAGUAAUGGGCUUGAGGAGGGGGUCGCGGCUGAUUAGCUAGUUGGUGGGGUAACGGCUCACCAAGGCGAUGAUCAGUAGCCGGCCUGAGAGGGCGCACGGCCACACUGGAACUGAAACACGGUCCAGACUCCUACGGGAGGCAGUAGUGGGGAAUUUUGCGCAAUGGGGGAAACCCUGACGCAGCAACGCCGCGUGGAGGAUGAAGUCCCUUGGGACGUAAACUCCUUUCGAUCGGGACGAUUAUGACGGUACCGGAAGAAGAAGCCCCGGCUAACUUCGUGCCAGCAGCCGCGGUAAUACGAGGGGGGCAAGCGUUGUUCGGAAUUAUUGGGCGUAAAGGGCGCGUAGGCGGUGCGGUAAGUCUGAUGUGAAAUCUCCGGGCUCAACUCGGAGUCUGCAUCAGAAACUGCCGUGCUCGAGUGUGGGAGAGGU
rnacentral:rRNA from 1 species